rnacentral:rRNA from 1 species
UACGAAUGGGGCAAGCGUUGUUCGGAAUCACUGGGCUUAAAGCGUAUGCAGGUGGACUUACAAGUCAGAAGUGAAAGCCCCGGGCUUGACCCGGGAAUUGCUUUUGAAACUGUCAGUCUAGAAUCCCGGAGAGGUUAACAGAAUUCCGAGUGUAGAGGUGAAAUUCGCAGAUAUUCGGAGGAAUACCAGUGGCGUAAGCGGUUAACUGGACGGGCAUUGACACUCAGAUACGAAAGCGUGGGUAGCAAACAGG